AGUGAACGCUGGCGGUAGGCCUAACACAUGCAAGUCGAACGGCAGCACAGUAAGAGCUUGCUCUUACGGGUGGCGAGUGGCGGACGGGUGAGGAAUACAUCGGAAUCUACUUUUUCGUGGGGGAUAACGUAGGGAAACUUACGCUAAUACCGCAUACGACCUACGGGUGAAAGCAGGGGAUCUUCGGACCUUGCGCGAUUGAAUGAGCCGAUGUCGGAUUAGCUAGUUGGCGGGUAAAGGCCCACCAAGGCGACGAUCCGUAGCUGGUCUGAGAGGAUGAUCAGCCACACUGGAACUGAGACACGGUCCAGACUCCUACGGGAGGCAGCAGUGGGGAAUAUUGGACAAUGGGCGCAAGCCUGAUCCAGCCAUACCGCGUGGGUGAAGAAGGCCUUCGGGUUGUAAAGCCCUUUUGUUGGGAAAGAAAAGCAGCAGGUUAAUACCCCGCCGUUCUGACGGUACCCAAAGAAUAAGCACCGGCUAACUUCGUG
rnacentral:rRNA from 1 species